CCAUCAUUGAUGUAAAGGGUCAAAAUUGACAGCCCAUUUUGAACACGCCCUCUAUGGGGCAUGUGACAUCCCCAUUGCUAUAAAACUGAAAAGUGCUGUGGUCUCUCUGAAUAAAGCACAAAGUGAAGAUGAGAGGAAUAAUACUACUCAGUCUCCUGGCUGUUGUCCUGGCUCUGCCUAAACCUCAACAAACUAAACAGCGGUGGCCAAAAGGUUCCAGGUUUCCCCUUGAAAAUGUAGAUGGGUUUGGAGAACAGGAACAAGUGAGUAACUUUUUGGAGACGUCCCAGGGUUUGGUAUACACAGGUACUCAGCCCAUUAUGGAGCCCACUCCUAGACCCUUUGCAAACACAGAGAAGACAACCCUAUCAGCAGCUGUAAAUGCUUUAAUAUCAGCAGUUGUAAACGCUAUUCAGAGUUUGGGAGAUUAUUAAAGGACUGUGUUGCUGGUUUGAGUUGGGGCUAUCAUGGUGGUGUGUCCAAUAAACCAGUGGCGUUCAACUUGUGGUCUGCAAAUUAUUACUUUUAUUGUUUCUCUAUUGUUUCUCUUCCAGAAAUAGUAUAUUAUAAUUAUUGAUCCCAGUGUCCUUUAGCAGUAAUUUAUACUUGCAUGUGAAUCCUUUAUCUAAUUACUUUUUUACAACAAAGAUGACAUUUUUAGUAAAGCAAUGACCCGUUGGAACCGAAACUUGGGAUCGACAUUUAGCCUACAAAAGGUUUAAACUUUCGGUCCAGUAAGAAGAUUCGAUCUGUGCAAUUAGUGAUAAUAUAAUACAGUGCACUGGCUGGCUGGCUCAUGUGUUUGUUAGAUGUGUGUGGGUCUGGGAGGAGGGGUGUGCGUGUGGCAAUGCACUGCCAUUUGGGACGCACAUUGUUGGCAGUGCUUGCUAGGACCUGUAGUGCAGCGCGGAUUUGGCCUGCGGGCCUUGUGUUUGACACGUGAACUACACCUUCUGUCAAUUCAUGAUAAGGGGACAAUGGCUCCUGAUAGGCAGGUUUGUCCCAUUAGUUCUCUUAUAUACUGCUUACACAGCCAAGUUAUAUUUGCAUGAUUCAGCUUAUUAUUCAUAAUGAAUUCAUCAUUAACUUUUGGUUCAUGCAUGUGACCGACCAAUACUGGUUCAUGCAUGUGACAGACCAAUACCUUACGAGGCUUCUCCUCUCUUAGCUGAGACCUUGGAACUGAGAUAUUCUUUCGUUCUUUAAACAAGGUUCUGGGUGUACUGCCAAAUUGCAGAUACUGAUAGUGAGGAUUCAUUCAAUCAGUCACUUGCAUGAACAUUGGUUAUUCGAAAAGCACAAACAUAGAACACAGAAAUUGGUUAUUCGAAAAGCACAAACAUAAAAUGUUUCAUCACAAGAUCUUUGGCAGGGGUGUCAAACUGAAAAAACACAACAAAUUCACAGGCCAGACAGACUGUUUUUAGAAGAAAAAAACUUGCAUACAUCUGUGACCCAAAUGGGCUGUUUUUAUUUUGUACUUUUGUACAUAGGAUGCUGUAUAUAGCAUUUUAACAUAUUAAAAGAAAAAAGAGAUAGGGUAAAUCAUGUUUGUCCAGCCCUAAUGCGAGCGCAUCAGGCUGUCAUUUCUUAAAAAAGGUGACAAAUGUUGACUCAUUUAUAUUCAUUUAUACUCCCUUGUGUAUCCUAUUGUCCUUCUGUUGUAAUUUAUAAUGAAAUCCUUUACCUUAUAACUUUUUGAUUUUCUGUAGGCUUCAGCAAUUAGGUUGGAACCGUAUGGACAUCACCACUUCUACAUUAUAAGACAAAUAAUCUUAUCUCAGCCACCAGGGUGGUGAAAGUGCAUGGUAUUGAGCUUGGAACUCCUUUCCAAUAAAUAUUGAGGGUCUUAUGCUGGUGACAUGAUGAUCGAUGCUUGGCUGCCAUUUGACAAAUAAAAAUGAUCUCGCUCUUUUGUCCAUAAUAAUCUCAUCAUGUAGGCUAUACCCACACGGUACCUGUAAACUGUUGGCUAGAGCACAUUUGCCAAUCCAGUGUGCGCAUUUACUGUACAAGUCAACACUUUUAGUGUCAAAACCAUCAGUAGAGUUGAAAAUCAGAUGGAAACCUAUUUUUUAUUCAGUACAUGGAAAUGAAAUAUGCAAAGGUUAUAUUUAUGUACAUUACGUCAUUACGCACAGCCUUUAAUCCGCAACAAGUCAACUUAAUGGAAACACACCUCUGGUGGGAAAACACGCAAAUAGUUUUUAUGUGGAUUUUAGAAUAUUAGCAUAAAAAAAAGCAUCUGUUGCCAAAUGGAUGGAAACCUAGCUAUUGUAAGGACUUGUAUUCAGCUAUGAGAUCAGUCUAUGGCAAUGUUUCCUAAACUCAGUCAUCAGCACCCCAAGGGGUGCACGUUUUGGUUUUGCCCUAACACUACACAGCUAAUUCAAAUAAUCAAAUAUUCAUCAAGCUUUGACAAUUUGAAUCAGCUCUGUAGUGUUUGGGAAACUCUGGUCUAUGGGGUUGAUCAGAAGGUCAGCAGUCAGUCAUCUUUACAUCAGACCAAAAAUACUUUCUACAUUAUAAGACACAUCAUUUUAUCUCUGCCACCAAACUUCUGUCAUUCACACCUUUGACGUCAUUCACCAGCACAGCAAACGUUGCAUGAACCUUCAAGGCCAGUUGGGUAGAAAAGUUAAUACCUGGAAAGAGAACAUUUGAUUUUCAUAUACAUAUUAUCAGGCGUCAGUCCAAUAUUUCUAGGUGUCUAAAGAGGUUGAAGACAGACAAUGUAAUGGUAACAUUGCAAUGGUAACAUUUUCACUUAAAUAAUCUACUAAAUUGUAGUGCAUUAAGGGAACUCAGAUUUUUUUGUAAUGAUCAGGUGGACAUUAUCAAUCAGGAAGUUAUAUAUGAGACUGGUUUAUAGGGACUCACCGCGUCAGAACAGGGAUGGGCGAAAUGGCCAAAAAAUCAUAUCUAGAUUUUUUUCUCAUUUAUGGGCGAUUCACGUUAUACAGUCAAAAGUUUGGAGACACCUAUUAAUUCAAGGGUUUAACCUUAUGUUUACUAUAUUCUACAUUGUAGAAUAAUAGUGAAGACAUCAGAAUUGUGAAAUUAACACAUAUGGAAUCAUGUAGUAACCAAGAAGGUGUUAAACAAAUCAAAAUAUAUGUUAUAUUUGAGAUUCUUUAAAGUAGGCACCCUUUGCCUUGAUGACAACUUUGCACACUCUUGGCAUUCUCUCAACCAGCUUCACCUGGAAUGCUUUUCCAAAGGUCUUGAAGGAGUUCCAAAAUAUGCUGAGCACUUGUUGGCUGCUUUUCCUUCACUCUGCGGUCUAUCUCAUCAAACCAUCUCAAUUGUGUUGAGGUCGGUGAUUGUGGAGGCCAGGUCAUCUGAUGCAGCACUCCAUCACUCUCCUUCUUGAACAAGUAGCCCUUACACAGCCUGGAGGUGUGUUGGGUCGUUGUCCUGUUGAAAAACAUAUGAUGGGAUGGUGUAUCGCUGCAGAAUGCUGUGGUAGCCAUGCUGGUGAAGUGUGCCUUGAAUUCUAAAUAAGUCACUGACAGUGUCACUAGCAAAGCACCCACACACCAUCACACUCCUCCAUGCUUCACGUGGGAACCACACAUGCAGAGAUCAUCCGUACACCUACUCUGCGUCUCACAAAGACACGUCAGUUAGAACUAAAAAUCUCAAAUUUGGACUCAUGAGACCAAAGGACAGAUUUCCACUGGUCUCUUCUUCUUAUUGGUGUCCUUUAGUAGUGGUUUCUUUGCAGCAAUUUGACCAUGAAGGCCUGAUUCAUGCUGUCUUCUCUGAACAGUUGAUGUUGAGAUGUCUUUGUUUAUUUUUUAGUAUUUAUUUUUACCCCCAAUUUCGUGGUAUCCAAUUGGUAGUCUUAUCUCAUCGCUGCAUCUCCCAUACGUACUCGGGAGAGGCGAAGGUCGAGAGCCGUGCGUCCUCGGAAACACAACCCAACAAAGCCGCACUGCUUCUUUUGACACAAUGCCCAAUUAACCCGGAAGCCAGCUGCACCAAUGUGUCGGAGGAAAUACUGUACACCUGGCGACCGAGUCAGCGUGCACUGCGCCUGGACCGCCACAGGAGUCGCUAGUGUGCGAUGGGACAAGGACAUCCCUGCUGGCCAAGCCCUCCCCUAACCUGGACGACGCUGGGCCAAUUGUGCACCGCCCCAUGGGUCUCCCAGUCACGGUCGGCUGCGACAGAGCCUGGACUCGAACCCAAAAUCUCUAGUGGCACAGCUAGCACUGCGAUGCAGUGCCUUAAACCACUGCGCCACUCAGGAGGCCUGGGUUGCAAUACCAGAGGCUGGUAUCUCUAAUGAACUUAUCCUCUGCAGCAGAGGUAACUCCUGUGGCUGUCCUCAUGAGACAGUUUCAUCAUAGCGCUUGAUGUUUUUUUGCGACUGCACUUGAAGAAACUUUCAAAGUUCUUGAAAUUGUCCCGAUUGACUGACCUUCAUGUCUUACAGUUUUUGACAAUUGCUUCCACAUGAUUUCUGAAACUAUGGCUCCUUUUCUCUAGACUCUACACACAAAACCCCAAAACGUCACACAUCUCUUGCAAAACCAAACACUUAAUUCAAAACUAUUUUAGCUCUCCUCAAAAUUGUGUUUUUGCAUCAAAAAUCUACACACGAACCAAAUGAUUAGCUCUUAUACAUGUCAACUAUACACGGAUGUGACAAAUGUAAAACACUACUAUCCUGUGUCUUUUGCAUGUUCAGUGUGCAGUGGAGUCCACGGCAGCUUGUCAUAGCACUCACACAUACAUGUAUGUGCACAAAUAUAUACAGUAUGUAUGCAUAUUCAGUAUAUAUUUACACUAUAAACAUAAAUGCAAAGUGGGAAAAAUCUAAUGCAUUUCUUUCUCCUAACAUUGCAUUUUCAUCCAGAUUUCGGGAAGAACAGUAACAGACAAAACAAAUACAGUAGAAGAUAAACAAACAGGUUUGUUACUAUAAAGAAAAACGCAAUUAGGCUGCAUCCUGUCACCUAUUUGGGUCUGGCCACAGCACCUCAUCAACAUCGCAAGCGAUGUUCUCUCUGGCUAAACAACAGGGGAAGUAGCGUCUGGAGUGGCGUAUCCAGCCCUGUCAUGCCCCAUCGUCUAUGUCACCACAGGCCUCCUCCUUGUCCUCGUCCCCCUCUUACUCUCUCUCCUCUAACUCUCUCUAAAAUUGUUGUAAACACCAAGAAAGUCAACCUGAAGACUAUUUAUAGUGCUCAAGCUCUGAUUUCUAGAUGAAGAAAUUAGCUAGAAGUGCUUUCACAUGUCAGCACUGGGUGUAGGUAAUCGGUAAAUGAGUGUGGCAUUUUGAAUGGCAGUGUUUUCCAAAUGAAGCACAAUACCUGUUAGUUUUGAAUGAUGUGUCUAAUGUAGAGAACUGUGUUAAGUGUUUUGAAAAAAAGUGUUUUACAAUUGCAAACUGAGUGUAAAGCAGAUAAUGUGCUUGCAGUUUUGCAGACUUGGUCUGAAGAUUAGGUACACGAGUUAAUGGUUUCACUGAGUGUGACUCAACUACACCUUUUAGUGUGUAAGCGAUUGUAAAAAAAAAAACUGUGAAGUAAUGAUGGACUGUCGUUUCUCUUUGCUUAUUUGAGCUGUUCUUGUCAUAAUAUGGACUUAGUCCUAUUUGGUAAUAGACCAUCUUCUGUAAACCACCCCUACAUUGUCACAACACAACUGAUUGGCUCAAACGCAUUAAGAAGGAAAGAAAUUCCACAGAUUAACUUUUAACAAGGCACACCUGUUAAUUGAAAUGCCGUCCAGGUGAAGUUGGUUGAGAGAAUGCCAAGAGUGUGCAAAGCUGUCAUCAAAGCAAAGGGUGGAUACUUUGAACAAUCUCAAAAAUAAAAUAUAUUUUGAUUUGUUUAACACUUUUUUGGUUAAUACAUGAUUCCAUAUGUGUUAUUUCAUGGUUUUGAUGUCUUCACUAUUAUUCUACAAUGUAGAAAAUAGUUUAAAAAUAAAGAAAACCCCUUGAAUGAGUAGGUGUGUCCAAACCUUUGACUGGUACUGUAUAUCUACAUUUAAAAAAUAUGUUUUCUCUAAAUAAGCUUUGUUGCACAAUUAAAUGUCAAUACACCGCAUUUCAAAAUUUCAGGAACAUUGAAAUGAAUUCAGGGCUUGUAAAAUUACAGUGUACAAAACAUGCUCUUUCCAUGACAUAGAAUGAACAAAUGAAUCCAGGUGGAAACUAUGAUCCCUUACUGAAAUCACCUGUUAAAUCCACUUCAAUCAGUGUACAUGAAGGGGAGGAGACAGGUUCAAGGAUUUUUAAGCCUUGAGAUAAUUGAGACAUGGAUUGUGUAUGUGUGCCAUUCAGAGGGUGAAUGAGCAAAACAGGUGCCAGGCGCACUGGUUUGAGUGUGUCAAACUGAAAUGGUCCACCUACAUAGACAGUGUGAUGAAGAAGGCGCAACAGUGCCUCUUCAACCUCAAGAGGCUGAAGAAAUUUGGCUUGUCACCUAAAACCCUCACAAACUUUUUGUUUUAGAUUCCGUCUCUCACAGUUGAAGUGUACCUAUGAUAAAAAUUACAGACCUCUACAUGCUUUGUAACUAGGAAAACCUGCAAAAUCGGCAGUGUAUCAAAUACUUGUUCUCCCCACUGUAUAUGUAUAUACUGUAUUUUAUACCAUCUAUUGCAUCUUGUCUAUGCCGCUCGGCCAUUGCUCAUCCAUAUAUUUAUAUGUACAUAUUCCAUUCCUUUACUUAGAUUUGUGUGUAUUAGCUGAUUGUUGGAUUCAACAUUUUGAACAUUGAGAUUAAAUAAAUGAUAGGGAAGAAGCAUUGAAUCAAAGGAGAAAGAGACUGGGCUUCUGUAGAAAGACAGAUAGCUGUGGAAUGUGUUGGGGGAAGGGAGUAGAGCAACGGUUGAGAAAGAGGGGACAGAUGGACAUCUGUGUACUAGGGGAAGGAACGUUUGAGUAUCUGGUUACCUUCUUCCUGUUGAGCAUAAGAUGUAAGGAUUGGAGAGAAGGGGGAGUGUCUUAAGUGGGAUAUAAAUAUCUGGAUGGGAUAAAUGUUGGGUUGUCUGAAUACUGCUGUACAGAACCUUUGGGAAAAAUUAAACUUGGUUAAAGAUGCUCUAGUGUCCUGUGAGUUAUUUACUUGGAAAAAUAAGAACCUAACACUUAGAUAUUGCUGUACUGUCGGAACUACACUGCUCAAAAAAAUAAAGGGAACACUAAAAUAUCACAUCCUAGAUCUGAAUGAAUGAAAUAUUCUUAUUAAAUACUUUUUUCAUUACAUAGUUGAAUGUGCUGACAACAAAAUCACACAAAAAUGAUCAAUGGAAAUCAAAUUUUUCAACCCAUGGAGGUCUGGAUUUGGAGUCACACUCAAAAUUAAAGUGGAAAACCACACUACAGGCUGAUCCAACUUUGAUGUAAUGUCCUUAAAACAAGUCAAAAUGAGGCUCAGUAGUGUGUGUGGCCUCCACGUGCCUGUAUGACCUCCCUACAACGCCUGGGCAUGCUCCUGAUGAGGUGGCGGAUGGUCACCUGAGCGAUCUCCUCCCAGACCUGGACUAAAGCAUCUGCCAACUCCUGGACAGUCUGUGGUGCAACGUGGCGUUGGUGGAUGGAGUGAGACAUGAUGUCCCAGAUGUGCUCAAUUGGAUUCAGGUCUGGGGAACGGGCAGGCCAGUCCAUAGCAUCAAUGCCUUCCUCUUGCAGGAACUGCUGACACACUCCAGCCACAUGAGGUCUAGCAUUGUCUUGCAUUAGGAGGAAUCCAGGGCCAACCGCACCAGCAUAUGGUCUUACAAGGUGUCUGAGGCUCUCAUCUCAUUACCUAAUGGCAGUCAGGCUACCUCUGGCGAGCACAUGGAGGGCUGUGCGGCCCCCCAAAGAAAUGCCACCCCACACCAUGACUGACCCACCGCCAAACCGGUCAUGCUGGAGGAUGUUGCAGGCAGCAGAACGUUCUCAAUGGAGUCUCCAGACUGUCACGUCUGUCACAUGUGCUCAGUGUGAACCUGCUUUCAUCUGUGAAGAGCACAGGGCGCCAGUGGUGAAUUUGCCAAUCUUAGUGUUCUCUGGCAAAUGCCAAACGUCCUGCACAGUGUUGGGCUGUAAGCACAAGCCCCACUUGUGGACGUUGGGCCCUCAUUACCACCCUCAUGGAGUCUGUUUCUGACCGUUUGAGCAGACACAUGCACAUUUGUGGCCCGCUGGAGGUCAUUUUGCAGGGCUCUGGCAGUGCUCCUCCUGCUCCUCCUUGCACAAAGGCGGAGGUAGCAGUCCUGCUGCUGGAUUGUUGCCCUCCUACGGCCUCCUCUACGUCUCCUGAUGUACUGGCCUGUCUCCUGGUAGCGCCUCCAUGCUCUGGACACUACGCUGACAGACACAGCAAACCUUCUUGCCACAGCUCGCAUUGAUGUGCCAUCCUGGAUGAGCUGCACUACCUGAGCCACUUGUGUGGGUUGUAGACUCCGUCUCAUGCUACCACUAGAGUGAAAGCACCGCCAGCAUUCAAAAGUGACCAAAACAUCAGCCAUUUCGCUACACUCUCAAAACCAUCUGCUAACCAUGUGUAUGUGACCAAUAAAAUUUGAUUUGAUUUGAAGAACAACUGCAGUGGCCAAAACAAGAACAAGUUUGUGCUCUGGUAUUGUGCCUGGUGGACCAUGCACAAGCUCAACCACAAUCUGGACCUUCACUUCCUGAUCACACUCCACACCAAGUUUUCCGCCGACUUGUGCUUCGGUCUCAUCAAGCAGCACUUCAGAAAGACCAGAGUGAACACUUUGUCUGAGAUUGCUGGUGUUGUGAAGGACAGAACUGUGACAGGGGUCAACAUCCCACAGCUGGUUAGACUGGAGGAUGGAAAGCUAUGGCUGGCAACAACACCUGACUUCAUACUUCAGGCCGCUGCCACAGAUCAAGCAGUACCAGUGCUUCAGGUGAAAAAUGUUUUUCUUAGUAUGAGGUUAAUCUUAUCUAAACUUGGGAGGUGAAUUGAUGUUGUGCAGGGUUGUAAAUGUCUUCUGAUUUUUUGUUAUUCCCUGUUUUACAUCUUCGAUUCUCUGGAGCCUGGUGUGGUCGCCAAGGAGCGUUCGGACUGUCGGGAACAGGUUUCAGCUGCUGCGCAACGCUGACAUCCUUCCUCCCAUAGAUAGUCUAUCUGUAAAAGCAACACCUGAACUGGACACAGCUAGACAAACUAUAUUUUUGACAAGGGAGCUUUGCGACGAAGAGGCUAUGGACAUCACAUGCCCUGCACCAAAGUCAAGGGCAGGACAGAAACAGGCUCUCUGAAUAUAGAUUCCCUUGUUUAUGCGUGGUUUGGACAGACCAGUCAUCAGCACUAUCUGCAGUGCCUCUAUUCACAUGACUCUCUCCUAACACACACGCAUACGUUGCUGCUAUUUUUUUUUAUCCUGCUGCUCAGCCACUUUACCCCAGAUUGUAUGCAUAUAACUACCUUGUCUAUCACUGAUACCGUUAUUGUUCUUCUUCAUACUGUAUAUUUUAUUUAUAUUGACACUAUUUCUGAUGUUGCUACUAUGCAAGUAACCAUUUGGCUGUACCGUAUACACCUUUUGUAUAGACCAUCCAGCAAAAUAUUGAUAUAUUAAAUGAAUAUUGAUAUGUGUGGUAGUAACAUGAUUUUGUGACAUACCAUUACAAUAUCAUGUGACCGUAUCAAGUAUCCACCACUUAAAUAUAUGGUGCAUGCAUCUGUUUAUGUACUGUACAUAUGCACCUCACUCAGGUUUCAACUCAGCUUGCAUGGCCUUAACUUAUGUAUGAAAUACUGUGUGAUAAGUGUGUGUGUAACAGUAUAUAAAGUAUGCUAAUGUACUGUUGUGAAGGCAUUUGGGCAGUGAUGUAAAGUACUUAAAUAAAAAUACUUUAAAGUACUAAUUAAGUCGCUUUUUUCUGGUAUCUGUACAUUACUAUUUAUAUUUUUGACAACUUUUACUUCACUACAUUCAUAAAGAAAAUAAUGUACUUUUUCAUACAUUUUCCUUGACACCCAAAAUUACUUUUGUCUAAAAUUGUCUAAUUCAAACAUUUAUCAAGAGAACAUCACUGGUCAUCCAUACUGCCUCUGAUCUGGCAGACUCACUAAACACAAAUGCUUUAUUUGUAAAUUAUGUCUGAGUGUUGGAGUGUGCCCCUGGCUAUCCGUCAAUAAGAAAUACAAUUGUCCCGUCUGGUUUGCUUAAUAUAAGGAUGUUGAAAUGGUUUAUAUUUUUAUUUUUGAUACUUAAGUACAUUGUGCCCCUGGCAAUCCGUUUAGAAAAAUUUAUACUAAAGUAUGACAAUUUACUACUUUUCCCCCCACUGGAUGUGGCUGGGGGUUGUAGCAAUUCUUUCACAUGACCCAUCAAUUUAGACAAGUGUAUCUGGGUAAGUGUCAUCUAAUAUUUAUAAAAUAUUUUUAUCUGGACACUUUGUUUACCUAGAAUAUUUCCUUAUUGUAGGCUACUACCGUGUUUAGUCUUCAGCACAUGACCUCAUGUGAAUCCUUAAAGAGAUGGGUGGGGCUGGCUUAAGAACAAUGCUGAAUGGGUGUAGACAAAGGAGAGCUCUCUAGUAGGUACCAAAACAUUCAAAGGCCCUUUUCUCAAAAGUGAGUUUACAAGUGUAUAAACUUUCCAAGUAGAAUUACUUUCCCAUUGGUCCUCAAAAAUGCACUGUAUGAUAUACCAUUUUGUAGCUCUGAGUCUCUACAUUUAUCAAAUAGCUACAUAAGACUGAAUCCAGGUGGUGAGUCACAGAUUUGAUUUGACAUUUAUAAAACACAGACUAGACAGUUAGCAUACAGUGCCUUCAGAAAGUAUUCAUACCCCUUGACUUAUUCCACAUUCUGUUGUGUUACAGCAUGAAUUCAAAACGGAUUAAAUAUGUUUUUUAAACUCACUGUGAAUGUUAAUCAUGUUUAAUUUGUUCAUGUUUUGUAAUCAUUGUUUGUUCAUUUAAAAGUAAUUUUGAAGUUUAUGUAAGUUGAACAGUAGGAGGCUAAUGUUCAAGAGGGGCUGUUGGGUUCUGAAAAUAUUAAAUAUACUUAUUCAUGUCACUGAGGGAGAGAGGGGAAUGUAUAACAUUUACAUUCUGUCCGUAUAUGUUAUUGUUAGCCAUCAGGGAUCCUAUGGGAGGAGAAAAGACAGUCUGGUUCGAGUCAACAUGACAGCCGUGAGUUUGGGAGGAGGGAGCACUUUGGGGCAGAGGUCAGGUCAGAGGAAGUGAGGAAGAACAGAAAUCACUAAAGUUCUGUCUAACAACAGAGAUGCAUUGGCUGUUCAGGUGUGUAGGAGGAGACUCAGCAUAGGAGAAAGCGUUAAAUAUCAGUGCUUGUGUGAAUGUGUUUGUCUUUGUCUUAUGCAGCUGUAUAGACCAUAUGGGUGAAUAAACUUGGUUGGAGCUUUCAUAGUGUCUGUCAAUGUCUUACUCUGAUAUUUAGAACCUAACACACUAGAUUUUCAAGCAGAUUUAAAUCAAAACUCUAACUCGGCCAUUCAGGGACAUUCACUGUCUUCUUGGUAAGCAACUCCAGUGUAGAUUUGGCCUUGAGUUUUAGGUCCUGCUGAAAGGUGAAUUUGUCUACCGGUGUCUCGUGGAAAGCAGACCGAACCAGGUUUUCCUUUAGGAUUUUGCCUGUGCUUACAGUAGCUCCAUUCCAUAAAUGUUUUAUCUUGAAAAACUCCCCAGUCCUUAACGAUGACAAGCAUAACCGGAUGCAACCACUACUAUGCUUGAAAAUAUAGAGAGUGGUACUCAGUAAUGUGUUGUUAAUACAACUACACUUUCCCCCAAACAAAACACUUUGUAUUCAGGAGAAAAAGUUAAUUGCUUUGCAACAUUUUUUGCAGUAUUACUUUAGUGCCUUUUGUUGCAAACAUGAUGCAUUUUUAGGAAUAUGUUCUGUACAGGAUUCCUUCUUUUCACUCUGUCAAUUAGUAUUGUAGAGUAAAUGCAAUGUUGUUGAUCCAUCGUCAGUUUUCACCAAUCACAGCCGUUAAACUCUAAUCAUUUUAAAGUCACCAUUGAUUGGCCUCAUGGUGAAAUCCCUAAGCGGGUUCCUUCCUCUCCGGCAACUGAGUUAAGAAGGAUGCCUGUAUCUUUGAAGUGACUGGGUGUGUUGAUACAACAUCCAAAGUGUAAUUAAUAACUUCACCAUGCUCAAAGGGAUAUUCAAUGUCUGCUUUAAAAAAAUGUAACCCAUCUACCAAUAGGUGCCCUUUUUUGAGAGGCAUUGGAAAACCUCCCUGGUCUUUGUGGUUGAAUUUGUGUUUGAAAUUCACUGCUCGACUGAGCGACCGUACAGAUAACUGUAUGUGUGGGGUACAGAGAUGAGGUAGUCAUUCAAAAAUCAUGUUAAACACUAUUAUUGUACACAGAGUCCAUGCAAGUUAUGUGGCUUAUUAAGCAAAUUUUUACUCCUGAAUUUAUUUAGGCUUGCCAUAACAAAGGCAUUGAAUACAUAUUGACUCAAGACAUUUCAGCUUUUCAUUUUGUAUUAAUUUCUAAAAACAUGAUUCCACUUUGACAUUAUUGCGUAUUGUGCGUAUUGCGUAUCUGCUAGCGGUACAGUGACAAAAAAUGACAAUUGAAUCCAUUUAAAAUUCAGGUUGUAACAACCAAAUGUGGAAAAGGUCAAGGGGUGUGAAUACUUUCUGAAGGCACUGUGACAAUAUGUGGCAAAAAUUCUGCUAGCGGUACAUGUUACCGCAACACAGUGCGCGACAGAAACUGAGCUGAAACUGUUCAUUGAUAGUCCCGUUUUAGUAGGGUCUGCUCUGUUCUACAUUUUGGGAUUUGAGACAUAAAAAGGGUAUCGUUAGAAGGGGAAUAGACCGAUUCUGUUGUACCGAACCUCAAAUGCAAGUAGCGAGUUGAAACUGGUUGUUGUCAGAGAGGAAGAAGUGAUCUUUCUUCUUUGUUGUUGUGAGUGGCAGGGGAUUGGCGUCUGAGUGCCAGUGGGAAGGUGCACAGUGCACACAGCACAGAAGGAGUGAAGGAGGCGAGACUCUUGCUAUACCGGAAUUUGGAACAUUGCACUAAAACAUAUGUUAGAAUUAAUCGAAUUAAUUCGAUACAUUGAUCCAGCCCUACAUCAACACAGACUUCAGUAACCUUAACAAUCUUAACAGAGUAGGAAUAGUUUUAUGAAAUUCAGAAUACUAACCAUCAGACUCAUCUGGCUUCCACAGCAACGCAGCACGAACUCUUCUGUAAGACAAUGAUAAAGUUAUCAGAAAUUGAAAAUCUACUUACUGAACUAAAAUCUAAAUGGUGCCUAUUUUAAGGUAACACUUUUAUUUAUUUACUUUUUAUUUCACCUUUAUUUAACCAGGUAGGCUAGUUGAGAACACAACUGCGACCUGGCCAAGAUAAAGCAAAGCAGUGCAACACAAACAACAGAGUUACACAUAGGAUAAACAUACAGUCAAUAACACAAGAGAAAAAGUAUAUAUGCAGUGUGUGCAAAUGAGGUAAGAUAAGGGAGGUAAGGCAAUAAAUAGGCCAUAGUGGCAAAAUAAUUACAAUUUAGCAAUUAAACACUGGAGUGAUAGAUGUGCAGAAGAUGAAUGUGCAAGUAGAGAUACUGGGGUGCAAAGGAGCAAACAUAUAUAACAUGAGGAUGGGCUAUUUACAGAUAGGCUAUGUACAGGUGCAGUGAUCUGUGAGCUGCUCUGACAGCUGGUGCUUAAAGUUAGUGAGGGAGAUAUGGGUAUAAGAGCAGAGUCAACUCACCAUCAGUACGACCAAGAAUAUGACUUUCGCGAAGCGGAUCCUGUGUUCUGCCUUUUACCCAGGACAACGGAAUGGAUCCCAGCCAGCGACCCAAAAAACAACUUUGUAAAAGAGGGAAACGUAGCGGUCUUCUGGACGGGCUCAUCGUGCACCACUCCCCAGUAUACUUCUCGCCAAUGUCCAGUCUCUUGACAACAAGGUUGAUGAAAUCCGAGCAAGGGUAGCAUUCCAGAGGGACAUCAGAGACUGUAACGUUCUUUGCUUCACGGAAACAUGGCUCACUGGAGAGACGCUAUCGGAGUCGGUGCAGCCAGCUGGUUUCUCCACGCAUCGCGCCGACAGAAACAAACAUCUUUCUGGUAAGAAGAGGGGCGGGGGCGUAUGCCUUAUGGCUAACGAGACAUGGUGUGGUCACAAAAGCAUACAGGAACUCAAGUCCUUCUGUUCACCUGAUUUAGAAUUCCUCACAAUCAAAUGUCGACCGCAUUAUCUACCAAGGGAAUUCUCUUCGAUUAUAAUCACAGCCGUAUAUAUAUUCCCCCCCAAGCAGACACAUCGAUGGCUCUGAACGAACUUUAUUUGAAUCUUUGCAAACUGGAAUCCAUACAUCCUGAGGCUGCAUUCAUUGUAGCUGGGGAUUUUAACAAGGCUAAUCUGAAAACAAGACUCCCUAAAUUGUAUCAGCAUAUCGAUUGCGCAACCAGGGCUGGCAAAACUUUGGAUCACUGCUAUUCUAGCUUCCGCGACGCAUAUAAGGCCCUGCCCCGCCCACCUUUCGGAAAAGCUGACCACGACUCCAUUUUGUUGAUCCCUGCCUACAGACAGAAACUCCAAGAA
ensembl:lncRNA